CUACGGGAGGCUCCAGUGAGGAAUAUUGCACAAUGGGGGAACCCUGAUGCAGCAACGCCGCGUGGAGGAUGACGCAUUUCGGUGUGUAAACUCCUUUUAUAUGUCAAGAAAAUGACGGUAGCAUAUGAAUAAGCACCGGCUAACUCCGUGCCAGCAGCCGCGGUAAUACGGAGGGUGCAAGCGUUACUCGGAAUCACUGGGCGUAAUGGACGCGUAGGCGCGUUGGAAAGUCAGGUGUGAAAUCCUACAGCUUAACUGUAGAACUGCACUUGAAACUUCUAAUCUAGAGUAUGGGAGGGGGAGUUGGAAUUAGUGGUGUAGGGGUAAAAUCCGUAGAUAUCACUAGGAAUACCUAAAGCGAAGGCGAUCUCCUGGAACAUUACUGACGCUAAGGCGUGAAAGCGUGGGGAGCAAACAGGAUUAGAUACCCUAGUAGUC
rnacentral:rRNA from 1 species